CCAGAGGAGGCUCUAACGUCGGUGCUGUUCUGCCUCUCGCAUUCCUCGGCUCUUUGCCACGGCCUCCCUCUUCCCUGCAAUCAAUAAAUCUCCUUUGAUUUCUCUGCUCUCUCUUUGGCUGGCUUUGCUUGUUUUCUUCGAGUUAUUCAAUGCUGGAUCUAGUAAAAUCCGCCUGCAUGAUACAAGAGGAGAUUUUCUUUUGAGCAGUGUUUCAUAAUUUCGGAGAAAUUCGGCUUACAUACAUGUUUAUAUAUAUAAAAUCUUAGAACUCUUUCUUUAUCCAAAUUAUUGUUUAAGAUCCAGUGUUUUUCCUCCUAAAUCAAUCAGACUUUCUUCUAUUUAUAUUUUGAAUUCAGAAUCGCUAGAUUUGGCUGCGAAGACACACUGAAUCGCUUCAAAAUCUCCUAAAAGCUGUAGAUAGAUAAAGAGCUCUUGCAGAUCUCUGAUAUAAGGUUUCUGAUCUGAAACUCUGUGUUUCAUAUCUGCUGGAAUUUCAUAUACAGAGCUCAAAAACAGAGUUCUGAUUGAUAGAAACAAAUUUCUAUAAGAAAAAAAGAACAGUUGUUCGAACCCGUAAAGCUCGCCAAAUUUUGGGGCUUUCAUCUCUAUCUAUUAUCUUUUGUUUUUAAAAAAAAAACCCGGAGCAUUUCUGUUAGCCUCCUGGUUAGUUAAUAAUGUCGACGACAUACAACUCUCUCCUCAAGCCCCGAGCUCACUCAUCUGCUCUUUCAACCAUCAGUAAACCUUCCAUUUCGCCUAAAUUGAAUGUUAUUGCUCCCUUAUCUCGCCGGAAUAACAGAACUACAAGAUGCUCUGCUGCCAAGAAAUCGACUGUGGUGGAGAAGCAUUUCUUCGGAACCAAACUGUGGGCUCCUGGAACGGAGAGGCUUCAUUUAUGGCAAUCGGAUGGUCCCGGACGGUCCCCAAAGCUUCGGGUUGUGGUUCGUUCCGCAUUGUCCGGAGUGCCGGAGAAACCCCUUGGUCUUUAUGAUCCGUCAUUUGAUAAGGACUCUUGUGGGGUCGGAUUCGUGGCUGAUUUAUCUGGUGACAGCAGCCGUAAAACAGUGACAGAUGCACUGGAGAUGUUGACACGCAUGUCGCAUAGAGGUGCUUGUGGGUGUGAAACGAAUACCGGUGAUGGAGCUGGGAUUCUUGUCGCCCUUCCUCACGAUUUCUACAAGGAGGUUGCUAAGGAUAUCGGGUUCGAGCUGCCGCCACCUGGAGAAUAUGCAGUUGGCAUGUUCUUUUUGCCCACAUCAGACAACCGAAGGGAAGAAAGCAAAAAUGUGUUUACCAAGGUAGCGGAGUCUCUUGGGCAUACAGUCCUUGGCUGGCGACGAGUGCCGACAGACAACUCAGGAUUGGGCAAUACUGCUUUGCAGACUGAACCUGUGGUUGAGCAAGUAUUCCUCACACCUACUCCUAGGUCAAAAGCUGAUUUUGAGCAACAGAUGUACAUAUUACGAAGAGUGUCAAUGGUGGCUAUCCGAGCUGCAUUGAACCUUCAGCAUGGUGGAGUUAGGGACUUCUAUAUAUGUUCUCUUUCCUCGAGGACUAUUGUCUACAAAGGUCAAUUGAAGCCCAUUCAAUUGAAGGAUUAUUAUCAUGCAGAUCUUGGCAAUGAAAGGUUUACGAGCUACAUGGCCCUGAUACACUCUCGAUUUUCUACAAAUACAUUUCCUAGCUGGGAUCGUGCUCAGCCUAUGCGUGUCUUGGGCCAUAAUGGGGAAAUUAAUACGCUUAGAGGCAAUGUGAACUGGAUGAAGGCACGUGAGGGUCUAUUGAAGUGCAAGGAGCUUGGUCUGUCCAAGAAUGAGAUGAAGAAGCUUCUACCUAUUGUGGAUGCUAGUUCUUCUGACUCAGGGGCUUUUGAUGGUGUACUUGAGCUUCUAGUUCGAGCUGGGAGAAGUCUCCCUGAAGCUAUCAUGAUGAUGAUCCCUGAAGCUUGGCAAAAUGAUAAGAAUAUGGAUCCUCAUCGGAAAGCCUUAUAUGAAUACUUCUCAGCCCUCAUGGAGCCUUGGGAUGGGCCUGCACUUAUUUCAUUUACGGAUGGCCGGUACCUCGGAGCUACACUUGAUCGCAAUGGACUGCGGCCAGGUAGGUUUUAUGUUACGCGGAGUGGACGGGUUAUUAUGGCUAGCGAAGUUGGUGUUGUGGAUAUUCCACCUGAAGAUAUCCUCAGGAAAGGAAGACUUAACCCUGGAAUGAUGCUUCUGGUUGAUUUUGAGAAGCAUAUGGUUGUAGAUGAUGAAGCCUUAAAGCAGCAGUACUCCCUAGCAAGGCCCUAUGGGGAGUGGCUGAAAAGGCAAAAGAUUGAACUCAAGGACAUUGUUGGCUCUGUUCCAGAAGCUGAUCAGGCUAUUCCUCCUGUAGCUGGAGUUGUUCCUACAUCUAAUGAUGAUGACAACAUGGAGAACAUGGGCAUUAAUGGUUUAGUAGCUCCAUUGAAAGCUUUUGGUUAUACUGUUGAAGCUUUGGAGAUGUUGUUGCUUCCCAUGGCAAAAGAUGGGACUGAGGCUCUUGGUUCGAUGGGAAAUGAUGCUCCCUUGGCUGUUAUGUCUAAUAGGGAAAAGCUCACUUUUGAGUACUUCAAGCAAAUGUUUGCUCAAGUGACAAACCCCCCAAUUGACCCUAUUAGAGAGAAGAUAGUCACUUCAAUGGAGUGCAUGAUUGGACCAGAAGGUGAUCUGACAGAAACAACUGAGGAGCAAUGCCAUCGUCUCUCACUAAAAGGCCCUCUCUUAUCUAUUGAGGAAAUGGAAGCUAUUAAAAAGAUGAAUUAUAGAGGUUGGCGAAGCAAAGUCCUUGAUAUAACAUACUCAAAGGACUGUGGUAGGAAGGGAUUGGAGGAUACAUUAGAUAGGAUUUGUGCUGAAGCACAUGAUGCAAUUAAGGAGGGUUAUACUUUAUUGGUUCUUUCUGACAGAGCCUUCUCAUCAAAGCGUGUUGCUGUAAGCUCACUCUUGGCUGUUGGUGCUGUCCAUCACCACCUGGUAAGGAAGCUUGAGCGCACCCGUAUAGGUUUGAUAGUUGAAUCUGCUGAACCACGUGAAGUGCACCAUUUCUGUACAUUGGUUGGAUUUGGUGCUGAUGCCAUAUGCCCAUAUUUAGCCAUAGAAGCUAUCUGGAGAUUGCAGGUUGAUGGGAAGAUCCCACCAAAAUCUACUGGUGAAUUCCACUCAAAGGAUGAGCUAGUCAAGAAGUAUUUCAAAGCAAGCAACUAUGGAAUGAUGAAGGUUCUUGCUAAAAUGGGGAUUUCAACUUUGGCCUCAUACAAGGGUGCUCAGAUUUUUGAAGCUCUGGGCCUUUCAUCAGAAGUGAUUGAGAAGUGCUUUGCAGGAACUCCCAGCAGAGUAGAGGGGGCAACCUUUGAGAUGCUUGCUUACGAUACACUUCAUUUGCAUGAAUUAGCAUUUCCAUCCCGGGUCUAUCCUCCUGGAAGUGCUGAAUCUGUGGCACUCCCCAAUCCUGGGGAUUACCAUUGGAGGAAGGGUGGAGAAAUCCACUUGAAUGAUCCUCUUGCUAUAGCAAAGCUUCAAGAAGCUGCCAGAGCUAAUAGUGUGGCUGCCUAUAAGGAAUAUUCUAGACGCAUUCAGGAGUUGAACAAAGCCUGCAAUUUACGUGGGCUUUUAAAGUUCAAAGAGGCAGAGGUAAAAGUUCCAUUAGAUGAAGUGGAACCAGCUAGUGAAAUUGUUAAACGGUUCUGUACAGGAGCUAUGAGUUAUGGAUCAAUAUCCUUGGAGGCACACACAACACUGGCUAUUGCUAUGAAUAAAAUUGGAGGGAAAUCAAACACUGGUGAGGGAGGUGAACAACCAUCUCGCAUGGUGCCUCUUCCUAAUGGUUCAACUAAUCCAAAGAGAAGUGCAAUCAAGCAGGUUGCAAGUGGGAGAUUUGGAGUUUCAAGUUAUUAUCUGACAAAUGCUGAUGAACUACAGAUCAAGAUGGCUCAGGGGGCUAAGCCUGGGGAAGGUGGUGAGCUUCCUGGCCACAAGGUCAUAGGAGACAUUGCAGUUACCAGAAAUUCUACAGCUGGGGUGGGACUUAUCAGUCCUCCUCCCCAUCAUGAUAUCUACUCAAUUGAAGACCUUGCCCAGUUGAUUCAUGACCUUAAGAAUGCGAAUCCAGGGGCUCGAAUUAGUGUCAAAUUAGUAUCUGAGGCUGGUGUGGGGGUGAUUGCUAGCGGUGUGGUGAAGGGGCAUGCGGACCAUGUGUUGAUCUCAGGUCAUGAUGGAGGUACAGGGGCUUCUAGGUGGACUGGCAUCAAGAAUGCUGGGCUCCCUUGGGAACUAGGUUUGGCUGAGACCCAUCAAACUCUUGUUGCUAAUGACCUUCGUGGCCGCACAGUUCUUCAGACAGAUGGCCAACUUAAAACUGGAAGGGAUGUGGCCAUUGCUGCACUUCUUGGUGCAGAAGAAUUUGGCUUCAGCACUGCACCCCUCAUAACUCUUGGCUGCAUCAUGAUGCGAAAAUGCCACAAGAAUACUUGUCCUGUUGGCAUUGCCACUCAAGAUCCAGUUCUGAGGGAAAAAUUUGCUGGAGAACCUGAGCAUGUUAUUAAUUUCUUCUUUAUGUUGGCAGAGGAGCUGAGGGAGAUAAUGUCUGAGCUUGGUUUCCGUACUGUCAAUGAGAUGGUUGGUCGCUCGGACAUGCUUGAAGUUGAUGAAGAAGUCGUUAAGAACAAUGAGAAGCUGGAAAAUAUUGACCUCUCCCUGCUACUUAGGCCUGCUGCUGACAUUCGGCCUGAAGCUGCCCAGUAUUGUGUCCAAAAGCAGGAUCAUGGAUUGGAAAUGGCUUUGGAUAAAAAAUUGGUAACACUUUCCAAGGCUGCUUUGGAGAAAAGUCUUCCUGUGUACAUUGAGAGUUCAAUCUGCAAUGUGAAUCGUGCUGUUGGAACAAUGCUUAGCCAUGAAGUUACCAAGAGUUACCACUUGGCAGGGCUUCCUGCAGAUACUAUAUAUGUCAAGCUUAAUGGAAGUGCAGGGCAGAGUCUGGGAGCUUUCCUUUGCCCUGGCAUCACCCUAGAGCUAGAGGGUGACAGCAAUGACUAUGUUGGUAAAGGCUUAUCAGGUGGAAAGAUUGUCGUUUAUCCUCCAAAGGGUAGCUUAUUUGAUCCAAAAGAUAAUAUCGUUAUUGGCAAUGUAGCUCUAUAUGGGGCCACCAGUGGUGAGGCAUACUUCAAUGGGAUGGCGGCUGAAAGGUUCUGUGUACGUAAUUCAGGGGCCAGGGCAGUUGUAGAAGGUGUUGGUGAUCAUGGAUGUGAGUACAUGACAGGUGGGACUGUUGUUGUACUUGGGAAAACUGGCAGGAAUUUUGCUGCAGGUAUGAGUGGUGGUAUUGCUUAUGUUCUUGAUGUUGAUGGGAAAUUUCAUUCUCAAUGCAAUCCUGAGCUGGUAGAUCUUGAUAAAGUUGAGGAAGAAGAGGAUAUUAUGACUCUGAGAAUGAUGAUACAGCAACAUCAGCGUCACACAAACAGCCAGCUAUCUAGAGAAAUACUAGCUGAUUUUGAAAAUCUUCUGCCAAAAUUUGUCAAGGUCUUCCCCAGGGAUUACAAGCGUGUUCUUGCAAACAUGAAACAAGAAGCAGCCCUAAAGGAGGUUGCUGUUAAAGAAGCCGAGGAGCAGGAUGAAGCAGAGCUGAUGGAGAAGGAUGCUUUUGAGGAGCUCAAGAAGUUGGCAGCUGCCUCUUUGAAUGAGAAAUCCAGUCAGAAGGUAGAAGAUGCUGAAACAGUGAAAAGGCCUACUCUGGUUAAUGAUGCUGUUAAACACAGAGGCUUCAUUGCUUAUGAGCGUGAGGGUGUUCAAUACAGGGAUCCUAAUAUUCGAAUGAAUGACUGGAAAGAAGUAAUGCAGGAAUCAAAACCUGGGCCACUUCUGAAGACUCAGUCAGCUCGUUGCAUGGACUGUGGUACUCCUUUCUGCCAUCAGGAGAACUCUGGUUGCCCUUUGGGAAACAAAAUACCUGAAUUCAAUGAAUUAGUAUACCAAAAUAGAUGGCACGAAGCAUUGCAUAGGCUCCUUGAGACAAAUAACUUCCCAGAAUUCACUGGCCGUGUGUGCCCUGCACCUUGUGAAGGUUCUUGUGUUCUUGGUAUCAUUGAGAAUCCUGUAUCUAUCAAAAGCAUUGAAUGUGCAAUCAUUGACAAGGCCUUUGCGGAAGGGUGGAUGGUGCCACGGCCACCCCUUAAGAGAACAGGGAAGAGAGUUGCUAUUGUUGGAAGUGGACCAGCUGGCUUAGCUGCUGCUGAUCAACUAAAUAGAAUGGGUCACUCGGUGACUGUGUAUGAGCGUGCUGAUCGAAUUGGAGGACUGAUGAUGUAUGGUGUUCCCAACAUGAAGGCUGACAAAGUGGAUAUUGUUCAACGUCGUGUUGAUCUAAUGGCUAAGGAAGGCAUCAAUUUUGUGGUCAACGCUAAUGUUGGAAUUGAUCCUCUGUACUCUCUUGAUAGGCUUCGAGAGGAGAAUGAUGCCAUUGUUUUGGCAGUAGGAGCCACAAAGCCAAGGGACCUUCCCGUACCAGGACGUGAGUUAUCAGGUGUCCAUUUUGCCAUGGAGUUUCUUCAUGCAAAUACAAAAAGUUUGCUUGACAGCAGUCUAGAGGACGGUAACUACAUAUCUGCAAAGGGAAAGAGAGUAGUUGUCAUUGGUGGAGGUGACACUGGUACAGAUUGUAUAGGAACAUCUAUCAGACAUGGUUGUAAUGGCAUUGUAAAUCUAGAGCUUUUACCAGAGCCACCAAGAACCAGAGCGCCUGGGAACCCCUGGCCACAGUGGCCUCGUAUAUUCCGUGUAGAUUAUGGGCACCAGGAAGCUGCUGAAAAGUUUGGCAAGGACCCAAGGUCCUAUGAGGUGUUGACAAAGCGUUUCAUUGGAGAUGAACAUGGUAAUGUGAAAGGACUUGAGUUAGUACGUGUCCACUGGGAGAAGGAUGCUAGUGGGAAGUUUCAGUUUAAGGAGGUUGAGGGCAGCGAGGAAACAAUUGAGGCUGACCUUGUCCUACUGGCCAUGGGGUUCCUUGGUCCCGAGUCGAAUGUGGCAGACAAGUUGGGCUUGGAGCUAGACAAUAGAUCAAACUUCAAGGCUGAGUACGGCCGCUUCUCUACCAGUGUGGAAGGUGUCUUUGCAGCUGGAGAUUGCAGGCGUGGCCAGUCCUUGGUUGUCUGGGCAAUAUCAGAAGGACGUCAAGCCGCUUCCCAGGUUGACAAAUAUCUCAUGAAACAAGAGGAUGCCGCAAUUAGCAUGGACACCCAAGAUGACCUUGUCAAGAGACAUCAAGAUCUUACCAAGAGGCAACAAGACAGCAAACACACAGUCGUGACAUAGGUGACCGUUGCCUUCAUAGUCCUUUGAAAGAAGUAGAAUUGAUUCACAUACUACUCUAAAAAAUCCGAAAUUGUCACAUGGAUGAUGCAAGGAGGGAAACAAUUCUCUGUGCUUAACCAACUGGAGAAUAAAACGUUAAGUUAUGGAGCUGACUGGUACAGAAAAUGGAAUAUUAUUGUGUUUUUUUUGUUCUAUAUCAUAUCGUUGAUAGCCUGGCCCAGCAUGUUUGAAAGUUGGCUUUUGUGGCCCUCGUUGAUGAAUAGUGUACAGUUUUGCUUCAUCUUGCAAUAUGUUUUGGCAAGAUUUGCUGGUUUCUUUUUGGUUAUACUCCCCGUCCUCUUGUUUUCUCCUUUGCCUCUCAGCACAACGUGAAUAAGCUUUAUCCACAAAUGAACUUCAAGGGACGGUUGAUUGAAAUGUACUUCCAUGGUUCUAAUCGAUGUGAUCUUUUUAUUUUUUUAAAAGCAUUUUGGUAUCCUCCCAAGAGCAGUGCGCCAGUACCUGAAAUAUUUUUUCCCUGUGAUAUGCAAAUGUCUUUUUGAGUGUAAUUAUCCAACUUAAAUG
rnacentral:misc_RNA from 1 species